rnacentral:pre_miRNA from 1 species
AUGCUACUCCCUCUGUCCAACAAAAAAUGUCUCAACUUUGACUAAAUUUGAAUGCAUCUAUACACUAAGUCAUGUUUAGAUACAUCCAAAUUUUGACAAACUUGAGACAUCUUUUAUUGGACGGAUGGAAUACUAA